CUGGGGGUUAAGCCUUGUCUGACUCCCAGGCAGAGCUUUUUGAUCCUGCAGUGAUGGCAGGCCCAGUCCAUGCUGGUGCUGUGGAUUUUCACAGGAUUUUUGGCCACUACUGAGAACAAGCAGCAAGACUUGGUGUGCUAAACCCAUCCUGGACUUGUAUGACAAGACUUGCUUCCCAACUGGCAGGACCACUGAGGCACCUGGUUGCCAAGAAGAAUCACAAAUAUUUUGGAAGGAAC
rnacentral:lncRNA from 12 species